rnacentral:rRNA from 1 species
CACGUAGGGCGCGAGCGUUGUCCGGAAUUAUUGGGCGUAAAGGGUGCGUAGGCGGUUUGAUAAGUCAUCUGUGAAAUCUCUGGGCUCAACCCAGAGUCUGCAGGCGAAACUGUCGGGCUUGAGUAUGGGAGAGGUGAGUGGAAUUCCUGGUGUAGCGGUGAAAUGCGUAGAUAUCAGGAGGAACACCGGUGGUGUAGACGGCUUUCUGGACCGUAACUGACGCUGAGACACGAAAGCGUGGGUAGCAAACAGG